UACGUAGGGUGCAAGCGUUAAUCGGAAUUACUGGGCGUAAAGCGUGCGCAGGCGGUUGUGCAAGACAGAUGUGAAAUCCCCGGGCUUAACCUGGGAAUUGCAUUUGUGACUGCACGGCUAGAGUGUGUCAGGAGGGGGUAGAAUUCCACGUGUAGCAGUGAAAUGCGUAGAUAUGUGGAGGAAUACCGAUGGCGAAGGCAGCCCCCUGGGAUAACACUGACGCUCAUGCACGAAAGCGUGGGGAGCAAACAGG
rnacentral:rRNA from 1 species